rnacentral:rRNA from 1 species
UACUCGAGUGGCGAACGGGUGAGUAACACGUGGGUGAUCUGCCCUGCACUUCGGGAUAAGCCUGGGAAACUGGGUCUAAUACCGGAUAGGAGCCAUUUUUAGUGUGAUGGUUGGAAAGUUUUUUCGGUGUAGGAUGAGCUCGCGGCCUAUCAGCUUGUUGGAGGGGUAAUGGCCUACCAAGGCGGCGACGGGUAGCCGGCCUGAGAGGGUGGACGGCCACAUUGGGACUGAGAUACGGCCCAG